GGGUCUCUAGGCGGGGGACUGGCUAACGAGGAAGACCCGUCUGCCGAACGUCCGCACGCCGUCCCUUUGUCCGUAUCCUAUCGGAAAUCGCGUGAAGGGUCUUGGUUUCCGCUAGGGUUUUGGGGGUCAGGGUUAGGGUUUUGCGAAAUCUGUAGAGAGAUUAUCGAGAAACCAUGAGUGCGUGGGCUCAUCCUUCUCCGAUUGCAGCAAGAUUAAGAAUCCUCUCAUCGAUCGAUCGCCUUCCAUCCGCAAGUCUUGCCUUCUUCAUUCCUUCCCCCGUGAAUUCUUCUCCUCCACCAAUUUCCUUGAGUUCCGGAUUCUCUGUGAAUCCACGGCGGUUCCAGAAGGGGCGUGAAUGGUUUUCCGCCGCCUCCAGUGGCCGGAAUCCGCCGGCCUUGGUGGAAGGGCCAGCCGGGGAGGAAGCACGGGAGGCCAUCAUGGAGAUGCUGCAAGAAUUCGGAGCUUCGAAGGGGGACUCGGCGGUUAUCGCUACGAAUUCUCCCAAGUAUAUCGAGAUGCUUGUGGGUAAUGUUCGAGAAUUGGAUGAGCACGGUCUAUGGAGUUCAUGGAAUGCCGAGAUGGAAGAAGAAAGGGUGGACUUUAUGAGUCUUAGUUUUAAGAAGAAGGUGUACCACAUGGCGAAGAGUAAAGGAGAUGGUGGGAUACUACCCCUUUUGGAAAGCAUUGGUCUGAAGCUCUCCUCUGCCAUGCUCAUUGCCAGGUAUUUGUCUUCGGAAAGGCUUCCCGAGCUAAUCGAAAAGGUUAAAUUUAUGAAGGAAAUGCUAUUUUCAAGCAGUGGUUAUGAGGUAGUCAUAGGAAGAAAUGCUAGACGCAUGAUGAGGCACCUAUCAAUUUUUAUAGAUGAGGAUAUUCAGAGUACUUUAUCAUUUUUCGAAAAAAUGGAGGCAAGACAUGGUGGUUUGAACAUGAUAGCAUAUGAAGAUGCCUCAUUUCCAUAUAUAAUCGAAUCAUUUCCGCGGCUUCUUUUGUGCUCAACAGAAAACCAUUUGAAACCAUUUGUUGGUUUUCUUGAACUAGUUGGAGUUUCUAAAGAAAGAAUUUCUGCUAUACUUUUAUCAUUUCCUCCCAUUAUUUUCUACGAUAUUGAGAAAGAAAUGAAGCCAAGAAUUCAUUCUCUGGAGAAGGCAGGUAUCGGAGACAAGGAUAUUGGUAGGAUGCUAUUAAAGUAUCCGUGGAUUCUUUCAUCAAGCAUUCAAGGGAAUUAUGCCAAUAUACUUGCAUUCUUCUAUGAAAGAAAGGUUCCGAAGUCUAGUGUGGAUCUUGCUAUCAAAAGUUGGCCCCAUUUGUUAGGAUGUUCAAUUCAGAAGAUGAAGUCAAUUGUGGAGCAGUUUAGUGAAUUAGGUGUUAAUAAGAAAAUGCUGGUUCCAGUAAUCACUUCAAGUCCACAGCUGCUACUAAAAAAACCUCAUGAGUUUCUGGAGGUGGUUUCUUUUAUGGAGGAAGUUGGUUUUGAUGGAAAAACCAUAGGGAGGAUCUUAUGUCGCUGCCCAGAAAUAUUUGCUGCUAAUGUUGACAACACCCUCAGGAAGAAAGUCAACUUCCUCACUGAUUUUGGCAUCUCGAAGGACUGUCUUCCUCGGGUUAUUAGAAAAUAUCCAGAGCUGCUUCUGUUAGACAUCAAUAACACAUUAAUGCCAAGAAUGAGGUAUUUGAUGGGAAUUGGGCUGUCUAAGAGGGACGUUUGCUCCAUGAUCUGUAGAUUUUCUCCUUUAUUGGGCUAUAGCAUCGAGAUUGUUUUGAAUCCAAAGCUUGAAUUCUUCUUAAGCACCAUGAAGAAGCCCCUGAAGGAACUUGUGGAAUAUCCCAGGUAUUUCAGUUAUUCUCUGGACAAGAAGAUAAAGCCUAGGUUCUGGAUACUAAAGAACAGAAAUGUGGAGUGCAGCUUGAAAGAUAUGCUAGCAAAGAAUGAUGAAGACUUUGCAGCAGAGUACAUGGGUAUUGGGAGACUGCUUGUGGUGCCUUCUCCUGUUCCACCUGAAGAUGAUUAAUAGUCAAGGGGGAAACGGAGGGGAAAACUAGUUUGGCAGCACAUAUUCAUUUAUCAAGCUGAAAUUGACAGGGUUGGUCUGCUGUGGUACCUGGUGUUUUAUGCAAUGCCCAGCAAUACCAUAUGAAUUGACCGCGAAGCAUGCAAUAUACCAAGUGAUACUAAGUUACCAUCAGGCAUUGAUCUUCGCUAAAUCCGACAUUGUGGCUAAUUGAGGUGGGACGCCUGCAGACGGUACUGGCAGACCAAGUGCACCGAGUAUAUCAGAGAUUUCUUAUCAAGCAGCCUGUCAAAUUUGAAGCACCUGCAAACUGGAAGCCUGCAUGUCAACUGUGUAUUUGAUCAACAUCGGUGGUUCCCACCUCCCAUAGCCACCCACGGCCGCACCACCACCUCCCAUGAUCAAGAGAGGGAACUGCAGUAUUCCAUUCCAUCCCAGAAUCUGAAUCCUCACCGAAGUCAUUUCCGUUCCAGAACACACUUUUAGUCCCAAUUCGGUGUUUCUGUUCUGUUUUUUUCACUCUGCUAAUUUCGUGACUGAAAUGGCUCGUUGAUACACUUCGUUGGCAACCAUUUUUUAUUGCAAACCAAA